AUUGAACGCUGGCGGCAGGCCUAACACAUGCAAGUCGAGCGGAUGAAGGGAGCUUGCUCCUGGAUUCAGCGGCGGACGGGUGAGUAAUGCCUAGGAAUCUGCCUGGUAGUGGGGGAUAACGUCCGGAAACGGGCGCUAAUACCGCAUACGUCCUGAGGGAGAAAGUGGGGGAUCUUCGGACCUCACGCUAUCAGAUGAGCCUAGGUCGGAUUAGCUAGUUGGUGGGGUAAAGGCCUACCAAGGCGACGAUCCGUAACUGGUCUGAGAGGAUGAUCAGUCACACUGGAACUGAGACACGGUCCAGACUCCUACGGGAGGCAGCAGUGGGGAAUAUUGGACAAUGGGCGAAAGCCUGAUCCAGACAUGCCGCGUGUGUGAAGAAGGUCUUCGGAUUGUAAAGCACUUUAAGUUGGGAGGAAGGGCAGUAAGUUAAUACCGUGCUGUUUUGACGUUACCAACAGAAUAAGCACCGGCUAACUUCG
rnacentral:rRNA from 1 species